rnacentral:rRNA from 1 species
GACGGGGGGGGCAAGUGUUCUUCGGAAUGACUGGGCGUAAAGGGCACGUAGGCGGUGAAUCGGAUUGAAAGUGAAAGUCGCCAAAAAGUGGCGGAAUGCUCUCGAAACCAAUUCACUUGAGUGAGACAGAGGAGAGUGGAAUUUCGUGUGUAGGGGUGAAAUCCGUAAAUAUACGAAGGAACGCCAAAAGCGAAGGCAGCUCUCUGGGUCCCUACCGACGCUGGGGUGCGAAAGCAUGGGGAGCGAACAGG